AUGGCUCAGGAUGAACGCUAGCUACAGGCUUAACACAUGCAAGUCGCGGGGCAGCAUUUCCUUAGCUUGCUAAGGAAGAUGGCGACCGGCGCACGGGUGAGUAACGCGUAUCCAACCUUCCCAUGUCCACGGGAUAGCCCGUCGAAAGGCGGAUUAAUACCGUAUGAGGUCACAUGCGGGCAUCUAAUUGUGACGAAAGGUUUAGCGGACAUGGAUGGGGAUGCGUCCGAUUAGCUUGUUGGCGGGGUAACGGCCCACCAAGGCGACGAUCGGUAGGGGUUCUGAGAGGAAGGUCCCCCACAUUGGAACUGAGACACGGUCCAAACUCCUACGGGAGGCAGCAGUGAGGAAUAUUGGUCAAUGGACGUAAGUCUGAACCAGCCAAGUAGCGUGCAGGAUGACGGCCCUAUGGGUUGUAAACUGCUUUUAUGCGGGGAUAAAGUGAGGGAUGUAUCCCUUUUUGCAGGUACCGCAUGAAUAAGGACCGGCUAAUUCCGUG
rnacentral:rRNA from 1 species